CCUUUGACGUUAGCGGCGGACGGGUGAGUAACACGUGGGUAACCUACCUAUAAGACUGGGAUAACUUCGGGAAACCGUAGCUAAUACCGGAUAAUAUUUCGAACCGCAUGGUUCGAUAGUGAAAGAUGGUUUUGCUAUCACUUAUAGAUGGACCCGCGCCGUAUUAGCUAGUUGGUAAGGUAACGGCUUACCAAGGCGACGAUACGUAGCCGACCUGAGAGGGUGAUCGGCCACACUGGAACUGAGACACGGUCCAGACUCCUACGGGAGGCAGCAGGC
rnacentral:rRNA from 1 species